UACGUAAGGGGCAAGCGUUGUCCGGAAUCACUGGGCGUAAAGGGCGCGUAGGCGGUUCGUUAAGUCGGGAGUGAAAGCGCUGGGCUCAACCCAGCAACGGCUCACGAGACUGACGGGCUAGAGGGUCCUAGGGGAUGCUGGAAUUCCAGGUGUAGCGGUGAAAUGCGUAGAUAUCUGGGAGAACACCCGUGGCGAAGGCGGGCAUCUGGGGGACACCUGACGCUGAGGCGCGAAAGCUAGGGGAGCGAACGGG
rnacentral:rRNA from 1 species